rnacentral:snRNA from 1 species
GUGCUUGCUUUGGUAGCACAUAUAUUAAAACUGAAAUGAUACAGAGAAGAUUAUCAUGGCCCCUGCAUAAAGAUCACAUGGAAAUUCAAGAAGUGUUCCAUGUUUUG